UUAUUGGCACAGCUCAUAAAGUCAUUAGUAUUAUAUAUUAUUGUAUACGCCUACCUCAGUUAGGUACCAGUAUAGGAACACGAUAUCGAUAUAGGUAUGUCGUAUGUGUUAUAUUAACAAUAAUCAUACGCUUUACCUAUUAUAAACUUAUAACCAUUAAUGAUUUUUAAACGAGUUUCUUCAACAUAAUUGUUAAAUACCUUUUUAUGUUUUGUAGACAAAUAUUCGUGUAAUCUAUUUUCAAUGAGCAAUAAUGAGCCACAAUAAUAAAACAGGAAAUCUAAUCAAAUUAGGUAAAUUAGUGGGAUAUUUCUACCAUUUUAAUCAUUUGAACACUUGAAAUACAUUCAUUGUAUAUUUACACAUCAACGAGGACAAAUCUAUCUUUGGAUUAGCAAAUAUUGUUCAAUCAUCAUGAAUUCAGCUGGGCGUGAUUUGGACUACUACAUAAAACGACAGAAGAACAACGAGGCGUCCAGAUUAAGCAAAACAAAGAGGAAGGAAAAGGAAAUCGAAAUGGAAAAGAAAAAAAUACAAUUAGAAGCAAUGUGUUUAAAAUUGAAAAAAGAAAUUCACAUUCUCCAACAAAUGAAAUUAGACAAAGCAAAAAAUAAUUGCACAGCACAAUUCAGACAAGGGCAACAAACAUCAUAGUGUGAAUAUGUGAAUAUUAUGAUUUAUAACAGCAAAGUUUUUUAUUAUUUGUUUUUAUAAUUAAUUAUUUUAAAAUGUUUACUUAUUGCAAUAACACAAUUAACGUAAAAGAUAAUGUUUUAGCAUUAACACCCAAUAUUAUAAUAAUUUAUAACUAGUUUUUUUUUUGUAUUUCCCAAUUAAAGUUUUAAAAAGUAUUGAUUUUUUUUCUUUUCACUCUCUAAAUCUAUAUCUUUUAAAUUAGUAUCUAACUACAAAAAACCAUCAGCAAAAUUGUAGAUUUUUACUGCUUUAGUAACUGAUAAAGUCAGAAAACAGAACAUUGUUUAUUUGCUCUAUAUCAUUGUAGAACCAGUAAAUUCAUU